UGAGAAUCCCACCCCCAAAUAACAUGCCU
rnacentral:piRNA from 1 species